UAUAUCAUAUUAUGGCUCAUUCUGUGCCCCAUAGGUUGUUGACCUUGCACCGUCUCAGAUUUUGUUCAAACCUCGUCUAUAAUACCAUGAAUGGUCCAAAAACCAAGGCCAGUCAAAUAUUUAUUUUAUAAAAAUAUUCAUAUUUUUCAGCACUUGAUAUUUGUUUCAGUUGUUGUACAUCCUAAAAACACAUAUCUGGGAAGCAGUGUUUGGGCAUAUAUAUAAAAAAUAUAUAUUUUUUAAAGUAUUAUUCAUACCCAGCCCAAACUGUGUAAAGCAGAUGAACAGGUUCUCAGUAUGACUGAACAAUUAAAAGUUUGUAUGGCAUGCUCAAUGAUUUUCUCUAAAGGCCCUAGAUUUGAAAAAGUGCAAAACGAGUGACAUUGAGAGUAUAAACUUGAACACAUUUCAUAUCAAACACUAUUUCAUCAAUGUUGUUCCAAUAUUUGAGCUGUCCACAUAAAACAAACAUGACAACAAAACAAGAGAAGGUUAUGAUUUACUAGAAUGGUAGUGGGGUAGCUAGUACAUGAAAAUCUAUGUGGUAGUAGCUCAAUGUAUGGGUAUUUAGUGUGCAAAUGCCAAUACUGUAGAUAGAUAUACCGGUAGUUCAAAUAUUUGUUUUACCCCAGGGACAAGAAUGAGAAGGCAGAUCAAUGCAAGUGUACUAGGAAUAAAACACAGUGAAACACUGACACUUUGUAUACUGAGCUAUUCCCCCAUAGAUUUGUUGUGCUCCUAAUGGCUACCCCACAUGGCAUUUUUAGUCCUAUGAAAAUGACCAAAACAUGCAAUUAUAAUUAUACUUAAUAUCUUCAUGUGUUUUUUUGAUAAUAAUAAUCUCCAGGGUAAGGCAUUUUUGAGUGUACAAAUGUUUUUUUAAGGAUGAAAAAUCUGAGACAGUGUGGAGACCAUUUUCCUGGAUUCUGUCUGAUUUUACACAGAAUAACCCGCAAGAUAACUGCCCAAUUAUAGAAGUUCUGAUAAGAAUUAGACAAUUUCACCAUGUGUCUUCAUUGUUCUUGCCUAAACAAGAGCCUAAAAUUGGUUUGAGCAUUAUUGCUAUGUUAAGGGUUUUUGGAUGGUGUGUGAAAUUGGCCUUCUUCUG